rnacentral:rRNA from 1 species
GUUGAACCUAUCUGCGAAUUCCCAAAUUUACGGGGCUAAAACAUGACAAACACUAAAUUAGUACUAGUAGUUGGACUAAUGCACGAAAUCCCCAUAAUAUAAGGAUUUUUCUGCAAUCUAGCCUAUAACCCGUUGGGUUUUUUUUCUGGUCGUUGCAACAUGGGCCACAGCCCACGAGGCCUUUCGGCCUAGGCCCAUGGUGGCGCCGCUGAUGGAGACAUCGAGCGGAUAAGGGGGACGGGAGGUUGGGCGGUUGGGGUCAACUCCCCCCAUUCCACCGCCACCUCCACGGGAUCCCGCCGGCCGCCGCCGAUGGCGCCCAGCGCCGGCGAUCUUCAGGAGGAGGACGGCCCCCCCGCAGCGUAGCCGGGGAGGUGGAGGCCUGCAGGGGCCCAGGAGCCGGAGCGGAGGCUGGGGCGGUGCUGCUCCAGCGCCGCCGCGAAACGACGAAGGAUCCGGCGAGCCGCCGGUGGAGGCGUUCGCGGGCUUGCCGGGGGCGGAGGCGGCGGAGAUGCUGGGGCCUUGGAAGACGACGCCGCUUCCUCGAUCUUCACGCUGGUGGCAGUGUUGAGGUCGGGGAUGGGGGCGCCGGGUUCGUCGAUCUCCGCCGGCGUGGUUGGCUCCGGCUCCACAACGGAGUUGAGCUACUGCUCCUCCUCUUCGUUCGGCGUCACCUCCCACUCCAUCAUGGCGGGCACAAGGCCAUAGCCUGGAGGGGCGAAGUGCUCCUCGUCUUCGUCGGCGGGCGUCGACGUUGGGAGGUCCGGGUAGGCGAGCGGCUCAUCGAUGACCUCCGGUUCCGGUGGUGGAGUGGCCGGCGGUGGAGGGCACGACCCGUACCCGUGCACGGGGCAGAAAUCGCGGGCAGGGCAAGGGCCGUAUCCGUGCACCGGACAGAAGGCCACGCCUGCAUCCAUGCCAUUGCCGAAGAAGACCCCCGGCGGUGGCGGGGCCUGGGCAGCGUCGAAGAACUCCUCCUUGCCCAGGAACGAGGCUGCAGCCUUGGCGGGAGCCCAGUCCAUUGGCGGAGCGACGAAGGCCGGCAUCGGGGGUGCCUGGUAGGCGUGGUGGACGACGGCAGAUGGGUUGCUUGGUCCUGCCUGCUCUGCGGCGGCGGGGCCAGGAUGAUCCUGACGACCACGGCGACCACGGCGGCCAUUGCCUGGGCCCCAAUGGCGAGGAGCACCAGCACUGUGGCGUCUGGCAGAUGGACGGAUCUCCCAUCCAAUGAAUCGAACAAGGGCAGAGGCGAUUCUAUGCAGGUUCAUCCCUGCCAUCUUACCUUCUCGUCUCUUCUUGUUCGUGCUUUGUUGGUCGAGGCUAGCGUGGCUGAUAACGUAUAAAGAUUUGAUGGAAAACUUGUGUUCUAUUGAUUCUGGGCAAAGCCCUAUUUAUACAAGGAUUUGGGGCGCCUCCGGAGAGGCGUCCGUUUACAACGGGCGCCCGUGGCGCGAGAAGACGCCCGUACGGACGUUCGCAUCCAUACGGCGCUUUAGACACACGUGACGACUCUUAGCGACUUUGCUUUAUUCUUAACAUGGAUGUAAUUUUUUACUUCUUGUGUUCUUUGUACUAACUUGACAGUUGAUGAAUAGAUAGGAAGUUUUCUUGCAAAAAAACACAUGUUACCUAAGUAAAAGAUAAAAGUUUACUAAUGAGUAUCUAGAGGGUUUUCUUUUUACCAUGCUGGUAUAUAGUAGGCAGGGCCACUGCUCCGUGAUCGAGAAGAGGAGAGCCUCAAAUACUAUGUUACAAUGGUAAUCCAAGUACUAUUAUACAUUAUGUCCAAAAGAUUAUUAAAUAUGUGAAAAAAAUCUUAGUUAGCAGAGAAGUCUAUAGCACAGACCAAUAUCGUGUAUUGCCUGUCUCCCAUCGAUAAAUAUCAUACAUGUUGUACUAGAUC